CGGUGGAGCAUGUGGUUUAAUUCGAUGAUACGCGAGGACUACCUGGGCUCGAACGUAAGAUGACUGUAGGUGAAAGCUUACAUCUCUUCGGAGCAUUUUACGAGGUGCUGCAUGGUUGUCGUCAGCUCGUGCCGUGAGGUGUCGGGUUAAGUCCCAUAACGAGCGCAACCCCUACCUUUAGUUGCCAUCAGGUAAUGCUGGGGACUCUAAAGGAACUGCCUACGCAAGUAGUGAGGAAGGCGGGGAUGACGUCAAAUCAGCACGGCCCUUACGUCCAGGGCUACACACGUGCUACAAUGGCCGAUACAGAGGGCAGCUACCUGGUGACAGGAUGCAAAUCUCCAAAGUCGGUCUCAGUUCGGAUCGGAGUCUGCAACCCGACUCCGUGAAGUUGGAUUCGCUAGUAAUCGCGCAUCAGCCAUGGCGCGGUGAAUACGUUCCCGGGCCUU
rnacentral:rRNA from 1 species